rnacentral:lncRNA from 1 species
CUAUGCACCUUUCUAGAUAAUUUUACAACAGUCUUAUGUUGUUGAGAGCUGGAAGUCAUGCAUCUAUCAGUGGGAAGAGAGAAUUAUGCUGUCCAAGUCAUGGUGAGAUAUUUGAAGAGGGAUGCCUCACCCCUGGGAAUGAAUGAGGAUCAGACUCAUCUGCCUUUGUCAGCCAAUCUGAUGGCAAAAAGAGAUGUUUACCAUGCCACCAGAGAACUUGAUCAGCCGGAGACUCUCCAAAUAAAACUUUCAACACCACAUCAGAGGAUUGCCCCGUGCUUGCAUCAACACGCUCGCAGCCUCCAAAGUUCUGUUAGCUAUGCGGGGUGUUGGCGGCAUGGUGCUUCGGGCUGAUUCCCUCUCAUUACGACUAUAUGAGGUGAAUUGAAUCAACACAAACCUAAUUUGUUCCAUAUGGCUUUGAUGAGCGUUUAUUGCUGGUUUGCUGCACAUUCACACUUCUCUCUUGACUUGGUAAAUGAUAAAACAUUGUUGGCUAACACACUGACGUGCACUAAGGAGCCUGAAAGUUAGUGAGCCUUUUAAAAGCCAACACUCUCUUGUCCUGUUCUGGGUGAUGCUGGUGGAUAUCUAUCUCGUGAAAUACUAGUGUUUUUCUUUGUUUGUUUUAUUACUUUAUAUAUAUAUAUUACAUGCUUCUCAUGCCCCCCAUAUGUA